CGCGAACCUCAGUGAUUUCGAGCCUUUUCCCCGUCCAACGCACUCGACUCAAAAUCGAGCGCCGCAAGGUGUGUGGGUUCGAGUCCCACCUUGGCCA
rnacentral:tRNA from 1 species